rnacentral:rRNA from 1 species
UACGUAGGGUGCGAGCGUUGUCCGGAAUUAUUGGGCGUAAAGAGCUCGUAGGCGGUUUGUCACGUCGGAUGUGAAACCCCGGGGCUUAACUCCGGGCCUGCAGUCGAUACGGGCAGACUAGAGUGCGGUAGGGGAGACUGGAAUUCCUGGUGUAGCGGUGAAAUGCGCAGAUAUCGGGAAGAACACCCGUGGCGAAGGCGGCUCUCUGGGACGGUACUGACGCUGAGACGCGAAAGCGUGGGGAGCGAACAGG